rnacentral:rRNA from 1 species
AUUGAACGCUGGCGGCAGGCCUAACACAUGCAAGUCGAGCGGAUGAAGGGUGCUUUCUCCUGUAUUCAGCUGCGGACUGGUGUGUAAUUCCUAUGAAUCUUCCUUGUUGUGUUGUAUAACGUCCUUUAACGGGCGCUAAUACCGCAUACGUCCUUUUGUUGAAAGUUUUGGUUCUUCGGACCUCUCGCUAUCAGAUUAUCCUAGGUCGGAUUAGCUAGUUGGUGGGGUAAAGGCCUACCAAGGCGACGAUCCGUAACUGGUCUGAGAGGAUGAUCAGUCACACUGGAACUGAGACACGGUACAGACUACUACGGGAGGCAGCAGUGGGGAAUAUUGGACAAUGGGCGAAAGCAUGAUCAAGCCAAGCCGCGUGUGUGAAGAAGGUCUUCGGAUUGUAAAGAACUUUAAGUUGGGAGGAAGGGAAGUAAGUUAAAAACUAGAUGUUUUGACGUUAACAACAGAAUAAGCACCGGCUAACUACGUG